AGGACGAACGCUGGCGGCGUGCUUAACACAUGCAAGUCGAGCGGUAAGGCCUUUCGGGGUACACGAGCGGCGAACGGGUGAGUAACACGUGGGUGAUCUGCCCUGCACUUCGGGAUAAGCCUGGGAAACUGGGUCUAAUACCGGAUAUGACCUCCUAUCGCAUGGUGGGUGGUGGAAAGAUUUAUCGGUGCAGGAUGGGCCCGCGGCCUAUCAGCUUGUUGGUGGGGUAAUGGCCUACCAAGGCGACGACGGGUAGCCGACCUGAGAGGGUGACCGGCCACACUGGGACUGAGACACGGCCCAGACUCCUACGGGAGCAGCAGUGGGGAAUA
rnacentral:rRNA from 1 species